UAGGAGGGUUAUAGUCUAGUCAGAGAGACUGACAUUAAAAGGCAUACUCUGGCUGGGCAUGGUGGCUCACUCCUGUAAUCCCAACACUUUGGGGGGCCGAGGCAGGCAGAUCACCUGAGGCCAGGAGUUCAAGACCAGCCUGGCCAACAUGGCGAAAUCAUGUCUCUACUAAAAAUACAAAAAUUAGCUGGAUGUGUUGGCACACGCCUAUAGAGACUUGGGAGGCUGAGGCACAAGAAUGGCUUGAACCCGGGAGGUGGAGGUUGAUGUGAGCCGAGAUUGUAUCACUGCACUCCAGCCUGGGUGACAGAGCAAGACUCUGGGUCUCAAAAAAAAAAAAAAAAAAAAAAAAAAAGGCAUACUCCUAUAAUUCAUCAUUAUGUUCAUUGUUGCCAUCACAAUGAAUGAUAUACUCAUUAUGGGACAAGUUCUUCACCUUCAUAGGCACCAUCUUGGAGGAGAAGGGGCUGUGCUUCUCCAAGGUCAUGUCCAAGUCUAGUUUCUGCUUUGAAAUCAGUGGAAAAUCCUCCUCUUCAACCAUGGGCUGUGCCUGCCUACCCCUCCUGGCUUUUCUCUUGAAGUAAGCAUCAUCAUCCAUCAUCAUCAUCUCUCCAGUUGUCCUCUUCCAUUCCACUUCCGAGGGGAGCCCUGGAAAGUCAGAGCCAUGAAGUAACUCAUCCGUGAUGAUGACAUGGAGCCCUGGAGAGAGAAGAAACAUAGGCGGUGAGAGGCAUCUUAACUCAGCUGAUCUUUGUGAGGGUGUUAGAAAAACUGCCUACAAUUCUAUAAAAUUACCAGCAGGGGACGCCAGAGGACCGUGGAUAAGCCCGUGCAGAGCCUUAGCAGCAAUGCGAAAAAUCCUUAGGAGGCUGAAUUAGGAGAGCUGGGACUUUCACAACAGCGAGAGACGUGCCCAAGCUGGCCUUGUGCACAAUGGAUGGAUCUUAUUCCUGAUUUUGCCCCUGUAGGGAGACAGAAUCCGGCCUUCUCACUGGAAGGACCCUGAUGAACAGAGCGUCCAGCUCUAGUUGGUCAAUAAAUUUUUCUGCAUAAAUAAAUAUGUAGAUUUGAACCGGGAGGAAGUUAAAGAAGCCAGAGGGGCCUCAGUACAGACAGCAAGAAGGAGCUAUCUGGCUGGGCAGGGAAACUGAGCUCAUGAGGGUCUUAUGCAAGGAAGAGACCACUGAAGUUUUGCAGCUACUUCUAU
rnacentral:lncRNA from 1 species